rnacentral:rRNA from 1 species
UAGGAAUCGUACCCGAAACCGACACAGGUGGUCAGGUCGAGUAGACCAAAGCGCUUGAGAGAACUCUGCUGAAGGAACUAGGCAAAAUGGUACCGUAACUUCGGGAGAAGGUACGCUGCCGACGGUGAUAGGAUUUACUCCUUGAGCUAUUGGCAGCCACAGAAACCAGGCCCCUGCAACUGUUUAUUAAAAACAUAGCACUCUGCAAACACGAAAGUGGACGUAUAGGG